UACGGGAAACCGGAGCUAAUACCGGAUAAUAUAUUGAACCGCAUGGUUCAAUAGUGAAAGACGGUUUUGCUGUCACUUAUAGAUGGAUCCGCGCCGCAUUAGCUAGUUGGUAAGGUAACGGCUUACCAAGGCAACGAUGCGUAGCCGACCUGAGAGGGUGAUCGGCCACACUGGAACUGAGACACGGUCCAG
rnacentral:rRNA from 1 species